AGUGCUGCAGAGAAUGCCUUUAAUGAAGAAGAACUUUCCUCUGUUGAAUUAGAAACAGGGGUUUGGUUUGAAGAACACACAAUGGCUGAAGUUCUUGGUUUUGUGGUAAAUUGAGAGCCAAACUUAGAUGUUGAAAUGGGUUUUGAAAGGUUUGAAGGAAUAGUAAGAGACAUGGUGUUUUUUUUCCUCUCUUUUUUUUCAAGAAAACAGAGAGGAAAGAAGGAGAAGAUUGGAGUGUGGAGAGUGAAAGGAUGGUUUUUUAGGAUUUGUGGAAGAAAGGAUUGGUGAUCAAGAGAGAGAGGAUAAGGAGUUGAAAGGGUGCUUAGGUGGAGGGAUUUGAUUGGCUAAUAGAGUUGGAUUUUAUGAGUUUUAGGGAUUUUUUGAUCCAUCUGUGGAAGAGCAAGAACCAGGGAUUUAACAGAUACAGAUAUUAUGCUUUGGAUCAUGUACACUUUUGCCACACUAAUUUGGGAUAGUCUUUAAUUUUUGUCCGUCGCGGUAAAUAAUUCUUUGCAAGGUAUAAGUUUAUAAUUUCGUAUCAUAAUAAAUAUCUUCGUAAAUGACUUCAGUUUUUGAAAAAAAGUUUGUAAGUUCUAUUGCUAAAGAACAAAAACUUAGAACCUAUUUAUUUGAAGAGCAGAAUUAAUAGAUCAAUACAAUUUUAUGGUUUUGAGCUAACUGACCAUGCACUUCAUGGGCUCUCAGCAAAAGCAUAUUUCCAUAUGGAUUUAAAUGUAAACCAGUCCAACAGCUUCAAUGAGCCCAUGUGUUUGAAUGAAAGUUUAAAUUUGAUCUAUGUACUGAGGGAACCAUAUCGAUGUGCACACCGUGAUCUCUAUGCAGCUAAAAUUUUGGUCAUGAAGAAGCAUACUAUAUUAUGGAUUUAUGUUUCCAUUAUUGGGCCAAGAGUAGUUAGCUGAAUUGUAGGCCAUUGGUUGUAAUACAACAAGUUUUGACGAAAAUAAAAUUCAUGAAUUUUCCAGUUCAUUAGAGUGGGGCAAGCACCUUGACGGAAUGAUAUCUUUUCAUCAACUGGUACCCUUGUCACGUUAAGCUCUCCAUGUAGCAAAUGCCAUCUUCAAUGAUACUUGUUUAUGCCAUAUUUUUUGUAUCCCAUACUUGAUUCUUUUUUCUUCCAUCUUACGACCUCCCAUGUUCAUCAAACUACUGAGAACUUGCCCAUUCAUGUUAGCAGGAACAAGGUAAUGUGUUUUUUGUGCUACCACAUGUACUUUGGACUGUGGUUGGAAUCUCCACAUCUAUCAUAUCAUACUGUAAAGUACCUUGUUAAGCAGGAUAUUUCGGUUUUGCUCCAUCAGGUAAAUGACUGCAGAGGACAAAGGGGAUCUAUUUUUGUUCAGUUGGCAUACCAGAAUGAUAUAUUUCCCUUUCCAGGCAGAAAUACAAUAUUUUCCUCAACUUAGAGGUUUAUGUCACAGAGGACUCUCCAGCCGCGUGACUGGCCUGAAUUAUGCACACCACUACUUGUUGACCUGAUUACGUUUCAUGGAUCAUACAUGUUAAAUAUUUUUUGGGAUGGCAUUGAUAUUUGAGCAUAUAAACCUCUAUCUACUGUGAUACGAUAUUGAAAAUGAAUGAGGAGCAAUCUCUUAGUUAAUUAUAUUAUGUCACAACAUUCAAUUGGAGACACUCAUUUAGAUGCCUGAUCAACUUAUCAAACCGUGAGAACAAUUUCCAAACGAAUCAUAAAAAGAACAUUAGACAGUGAACUAGCCAUCAUCUAGCAACACAUGGUAUAGAAAAUUCACAAUCUUUCAUGGAUAUAAACAAGUGAAAGUAUAAUUCCACGAGUCUCCAACAAGAGAAAUUUAAACAUGGGUAAUCAAAAUUAGACAUUAGGGUCAAUGAGGUCUCCAUUCAAGUACUCUCUGUAAGCAGCAACAGGCCAGAUGAAGCCUCUCCAAACGAGUCUAUUAGCCAAUGGAACAUCGAUGAUGAUUUCCUUCAUUGUUGGUUUCUUAUCAUCUCUUACUGCAAUCAAGUAGCUCCUUCCUACCCAUCCAAUCCAUCCAGCAAUGUACAAGAAGAGGAUCCCUGGAGUGAUGAACUCACCCCAAUGCCUCUGGUCUCCACUCACUAUCAAGUGUGGUAGUCCAUCUGAUCCACACAACAGUCCUUGUUUCCCGUAGUUGUCAAACCUGCAAUGACAAUAGUUCAGUGACUUUGUAAGUGAAAUGACGAUAGUUUAGUCGCUUUCUGAUGAAUUAAACAUCUACUCGAGUAUCAAAGGGUAUGUAUGUUCUAUUUUUGGAUGUUUCCUAGUCUAAUCUCAACGACAUAUGCAAGGAAAAGUUGAAAAUCUGUUCCAGAACAAGCUGCUUUUCUUUGAUAAGCAAAUGUUAAUGUACUUGGUGCUUUCGUUUGUAAAGAAUGCUUUUAGCUCUUCCUCUACUCCUAUGGGGAUUAAAGAGAGAAGGCGUUGAAGGUAGCCUCGUUAUCCAUACUUCUGGUGGGAUCAAUAGAGCAUUAGCCUACCCAUAUUUUUACAGUACUGUCUAUCAAGUUUACAUACCCCGGUGAUCAUUGACACCAUUUCCUUUUUUUAUUUGUUUUAAAAUGGAAUGCUACAUUUUUAUAUUUCACAACUUUUUAAUUCUAAGCUUCUUAACUUCACCAUAUGCUAUCAUAACUAUAAACAUGUACUUAUGUCUAAGAUCACAGUUCUAAGAAUACUAGUCCACAAUCAAAUACAUCCGUAUAAGUGCAAGAAGGGGAAAAAAGAGCAGCGUGUUACAUUAAAGCUCCCGCUAUGCACAAGUCCGGUAUUUAUUGAAGUAUUAAAAAAAUGAUAACUAGGGGUAGAAGUAAACUUUUCAAGAUUCCUGGAAAUUAUGAAUAAGAAACAAAGGCAAACCUGCGUUUAGUUUUUUCAAUAGUGGCAUUAAUAGCAAGUGCAGGGGCGCUAUCAGGUGCAUAAAGUUUCAAAGAACUCUCAAGUUUCUUGAUCUGUUGCUUCUCCCUUUUAGCAAACUGUUUUGAAUCCUUGCAAGGUGUAAGCCCAGAGAUAUCAGCAGAAGCUGGAAGAACUGGUGCUGACAACAGAAUAGAAGACAAAGCAAGUGCUGCAGAGAAUGCCUUUAAUGAAGAUGAACUUUCCUCUGUUGAAUUAGAAACAGGGGUUUGGUUUGAAGAACACACAAUGGCUGAAGUUCUUGGUUUUGUGGUAAAUUGAGACCCAAACUUAGACGUUGAAAUGGGUUUUGAAAGGUUUGUUGGAAUAGUAAGAGACAUGGUGUUCUUUCUAAUUUUUAAUGUACUACAAGAAAAAAUGGUAGAAGGAGAUUGAAGUGUGGAGAAUGAAACUAUUGGUUUUUUAGGAUUUGUGGAAGAAAGAGAGAGGAUAAGGAGUUGAAAGGGAUCUUAGGUGGAGUGAUUUGAUUGGAUAAUUGAGUUGGAUUUUAUGAGUUUUGGAGAUUUUCUGAAAUUUUAUCUAUCUGUGGAAGAACAACAACCAUGGAUUACAGAUACGCAUACUUUCGUGUGGCCACCACAUAGGUGAAGAGAACUCUUGAAUGAGCAAUUAUUAAUAAUCUAUUGGAUGAGUAUUUACUAUUUUACACGAUAAUUAAAAAAUCAUUAGUAAUAGAUUGAUCGACUUUGUUAUUU
rnacentral:lncRNA from 1 species